rnacentral:rRNA from 1 species
UACAGAGGUGCCGAGCGUUAGGCGGAAUCACUGGGCUUAAAGCGUGUGUAGGCGGACGUCUAAGUACCUUGUGAAAUCCCACGGCUCACCCGUGGAACUGCUGGGUAUACUGGGCGUCUUGAGCCACCUAGGGGCCAGCGGAACAAAUGGUGGAGCGGUGAAAUGCGUAGAUAUCAUUUGGAACGCCAACGGUGAAAACAGCUGGCUGGGGGGUGUGCUGACGCUGAGACACGAAAGCCAGGGGAGCGAACGGG